UCCACGGCAUAUAUAUUCCACCAGUGUCACUCUUCCCCUUUCCGCUCAAGUGCCCCCUUGCGGCCGUAAAAAAAACGCACAAAUUCGCCACAUCGCCGCAUAAGCCACAGAGUUGAAAGCGUGUGAAAAAAGUCACAGCUUGUGUUUUUUCUAACGGUCGCAAGGGGGAACUGGAGUGGAAAAGGUAAGAGUGACACCGGUGGAAUAUAUGUGCCGAGGAACUGACUUUUACUGGUAUGUUUUUUUUUUUUAAUCAGCCCUGUUAGCGCUGUGCUAGCCUGUUGCUGCUGUUUUACUGCCGUGUCUCAGUGAUUUUUACCAGUAUGAUUUUUUUUUUCAAUUGGCCCUGUUACUGCCGCGCUAGCGUUAGCGUCGCGCCAACGCGUUGCUGCUAUGUUGCUGCCAUGUAUCAGUGUUGGGUUUUUUUUCACCGGCCCUGUUAGUGCUGUGCUACCGUGUUGCUCCUGUGUAGCUGCCGUGGCUGUUUUUUUGUAUAAUUUUUAUUUUUUUUUAACCUGCCCAGUUUGUUCUACGAUGUUAUUACUAUGUUAAGCUAAGCUAAGGUAUUAAAACUUUGAAAACUCUUUCUGUGUACCGUCUUUCUUUGUAAAUAUCUCGUGUUUCAAUGUGGGUUUCAAAGUGGCGACUCGGGGCUUUUACACAGGUGCGGCUUAUGUAUGUACCAAAUGGUAUUUCCGUUACAAACGUACUGGGUGAGGCUUAUAAUCAGGUGCGCUCCGUAGGCCGGAAAAUACGGUAAUAUUCGCUAACUUUGACAAUAGCGGCAACAAGGUAAGUAGCGCGUAAUGCUUGUUGCUUGCUCGCUGACUUUGGUCGUCGUUCUGGCUGUGGAACGCGACAGCCUGUCACAUUUUCAAGGCCGGCUUUGGUCAAAGUGGAGCAGAACGUCCCGCUGACCCGGCCCACCGCGGCGUAUACCAGCUGAGGCCUAGAAACUCCCCAGUGGGUUUCAAUUCCUUUCUGUAGGCACGAGAUCAGAAUUGUAGGCCACGAUUGAGGUGAGUAUUUGGAUCAGUUGUAUCAGAUACUAUCUGCUGGCUUCCUCCUUUAUGGCUUUGCUGCUCCACCAGAAGAAGUUUUAUCUGGUGUCCUUCUCGUCUCUCCAAGAAGAUGAGUGACACAUCAGAGAUAGCCUUCAACUAAUCCGUUCCUUUACGCCGAUGAGAAGACAAAAAAGUUUGUGUUACCGGCCUCAGGCCGAGAGGAAUCUGAGUCGGCACAAGCGACACACGGGCGGUCGGCGCUGUGGAUCUGUGAACGAUCACAAUAUCAUCUGCGAGCAUCGUAGUCCAAGGGGAUUCCAGUCUAACCUCGUCUGUCAGCCUAUCCAUUACGACCGCAAACAGGAAGGGCCUCAGCGCGGAUCCCUGAUGCAGUCCCUCCUCCACCUUAAAUCCUUCUCACACACCUACGGCACACCUCACAACUGUUCCGCUGUCCUCAUACUUGUCCUGUACUAUUGUAACAUAUUUCUCUGCCACACCAGACUUGCAGACGUGCAUGGAGUACCACAGUUCCUCUCUUAACAAAAGGCAGUUUCUAAACUCUCUACACUUGCGACUCACAUCUUAACUGAGCGAGAAUCAAGCUCAUCCACCUCCUCAGCUUUGUCGUCGCAGUGCCACCUGCGUGUACAACUACCGUUUCAUAUGUUUUUUGAAUUUUAUUUUUGGGGUGGGGGUGAGGGGGUUAGCUCUAACUAUCAACAUGUUAUAUUCCAACUCAGUAACCGCUGAAGUGUGUUAUCUUUGAAGCAUGUGCAAUUGUUUGAAAUGUCCAGCAGGUGGCGCAGGCGGGUCAGAGACACCACAGACUUGACUUUGGCGGCCUGUGCCGGGGCUGACCUGACCCGCUUUGCCGUCAGCUGCACGCGCCUCCUCGUCAUCUUGGGCCUAGUCGCUGUACCAUGCACACACUUGACCUUGUUUACUACCAUGUGGCAGUCUCCCUUUGGUGUCCCGCCUGACUUUACUUUUCUAUACUAUUGGAACAAAGAGAACAACGUAGUCUGCUUCCACAGCUGCUGUCAGACACGGAGAAACUCUCAUGCUCUCGUUGUUUUAGUUACCAACGAAGUGUUGUCUUUUACAGUGACCUUCCAUAGGUAGGCUAUGAGGACUCGUGUUCAGCAGUUGGAACGCUGAUUUUUAUUAUUUAAUUGAAGGGUAAACAAUCUCUGUAAUAUUUCCUAUGCAUAUGGAAUGCUUAUAUAUAUAUAGUAUUCCAUUUAGCAGCAAAAAGAACCAAUCUGACAAUAGUAAAAUAAUGGGGUCAUCUCAUUUUUACAUACUCAGCUGUAGUUUUGUGUUUCUUUUUCUUGGCAUGAAAAGACAAACUUUGAAUGUUCUUUUUGGGCAUGACAAUACUUGCUUGCUUUCUCACAGUGAAGACAACACGAGUAGCGGCAACAUUUAAGUGCUGUAUCAUUGCGCUCUGCGUGGGUUUAAAAAAAAAAAACCUUUAUUCGAGUACCCUUCAGAAUAUUGGACAAUAGAACACUUACAGCGACUGGCAUAAUAGAAUCCAGAUCACACCAAUGAGGACAUGCGGCAUAAAAAAAUGGUAGAUGGAUGUUUUGACAAUGGCCAGUAAAAGAGGUAACGUUCAAAAGGACCGUGAGUGUUUACAUUUCUAUUUUGGUUAAACCAACAAAACACUUCAAGGUCUUUGUGCUCUUCAGACAAUGUGAACAAGAGCGGAUCAUUUGGGGGAGGGUUCGUUCUACUGUAGGCGAAGGUACACACAGCUGUGCGUGCCGCACUGCUGUGUUUGCAUUCGCACAAAACGUAUACGUUGCCCCGAGGCCUUCCACCAACACAACACAGAUAGAUAGAUAGAUAGAUAGAUAGAUAGAUAGUUUUCCUCACUGUCAUCAUUCUGACUGCUACUAUUUCAUUUGUGAUAGAUAGAUGGAUGGAUGUGCCGUCAAGUGUGAAAGUCACCUUUGGAGUUCCAAGCCACUAACUCAACCCGUAACCCAACCGUUGAUGAAAGCAAGUUUCAUGUUGGAGGAGGCCAAAAAAAGCGCGUGCAAAGCAGUCUUUUGCAAACUCCCGGGGCUGCACGUGGGGGUUGACGAACAAGGCGCGGGGUGCAAGCGCUGAUUAGCGCGAGCCGUUUAUUGCUCCGACAACAGUGUGCCAAUCACGGGCUUCCCUCAAGUUUUCCCUCCCGUUUCCGUAAAUAUGAAAGACGACGCCCCGACAGCGACUUGAAAGGGGGGCAACGGCGGGGAGGCCCCGUACCAGGACGCGGAGUCUUCGUCAAAGUAUGAUCAAACCCCGUUCCUGCACACAUCAAACCCGACUUGACGAAAGAAGCUCUGGGCGGCGUAAUGAGUCCUAGGGCGCCUUUCAACUACGUGUGAAAUGCGACAUUUGCGUCUUCUUCCUCUUUUUUUGUGGCUCGCGUUGACGUCACGGCCCUCGUGUGUGUCGGGAGCUGACCGGAUCCGGCAAGACUAGACCAAGAAUCCUCGCUCUGAUGACAUUUUGAUGACUUUGUUUUUGUUUUGAAUGAAUCAAUUAACAGAAUUGGAUAAAUGCCC